rnacentral:rRNA from 1 species
UACGUAGGGAGCAAGCGUUGUUCGGAUUUACUGGGCGUAAAGGGCGCGUAGGCGGCGCGGUAAGUCACUUGUGAAAUCUCUGAGCUUAACUCAGAACGGCCAAGUGAUACUGCAGUGCUAGAGUGCAGAAGGGGCAAUCGGAAUUCUUGGUGUAGCGGUGAAAUGCGUAGAUAUCAAGAGGAACACCGAUGGCGAAGGCAGGUCUCUGGGCUGACACUGACGCUCAUGCACGAAAGCGUGGGGAGCAAACAGG